GUCCUUUUGAAAAAAAAAAAUCAACCAGAAAACAUUUUGCACGCAUAUUGAAUCGAAACAAAUUUACACUCGUGGUUGUCGUCACUCCUGGAAUGGUCGCUGCGUUCACUAUCAGGAGGAAUUGCUGAGCCAUAAAAGUGUUCAGAAGCCAUUUCACGUUUCCGAAGAAAAUAAACCAUGUACACCUUGUUGCAUUUGCGCAACAUAGCAACGUUCCGUUGCCAGGAACAAAAUAUUUCGAGAUAAGAAUGUUUUUGUGAAUUUACAGAGUCAGGAGGAUGUGGAGCUUAGCGUAAUAAUUUUUUUGGGGCUUUGGCUUAUGGAGAAAUACAUUUACAAGUGGCAAAACUUAUCCAUAUCACUGCUCGCGGGCGCGCGCAGCCUCCACCACGUUUGUUUUGGUAGAUGAUGCGAAGGAUGAGCACAGAUGGCAGCACAAAUGGGCGCGCGUUCUUUAGGCGAAUGUUGCGGAAAUGCAACAACGCCUACAGGCAGCUUUAAACGGACUUUGCUUCUGGGUUUAACGCCGUUCAUCGGAAUGUUGCGUAAAUGCAACAAGGUGCAGUCAAGGGUUAAAGAGCCCCUCACCAGGCCACAGUUCAUUUCGGUUAUACGCUGGAAGUUGUUACGUGCCCUCUAGGGAGCGUUCUGCCGGAAGAAUAUUUCAGAAUGGUUCAGUAAUCGCCGAGAUAUUUCAGUGCUGCAAACCCAUGAUUUCCGGCGGCGAACGCCACUGUCACGGCAUUUGGUCAACAGAAACGCUCUCUCCACUUGCCCCGCCUAGCCAAAGCAAGCGAAAUUCCUUUCCUGCGUUCUCCCACACGGGAGCUCGAGUAUCGCGUGACGCAUACGUCACGGGACCCGCCUUCACUAUUCUUUCCUCGCUUUAUUUGCCGCGCGGCGCACCUCUGCUGAUGGCGUUGCGCGCGAGCUGCUGCAUAUGUCUCGUUUCGCGCAGCGCGCGAUUGUGCGCGCUGUGCACUAGAACACCUGACUAGCCGUACAAGUGAGCGCUACGCGAAUAUCGAGGCAGACCCGAGCGGAUCACAGAACAGGAUAGCACGCUGGGAACAAGGUGCAAAAUGACACAGUUUCGAUGUCCGCGCGUGCGACGCCACGACGUGGGAGCAACAAAACGGAAGUACAUCUCUCUUGUGGCACUGCUAAGCAAAACAAAGUCACGCAGCGAUCCGGAUUAAUGUAUGAAAGGUCGACACUAAUACUAACGCAGAAGAAAGCAAACUCCCGGCUCUUCGGUGCAAAUAUAGAGUGGACCAAAGCACCGGUACGACGAUCACCUAGAGGUCCAGGACUUAUCAGGACAAAUAAAUCUGAAAAUACACGAAGGA